GAUGAACGCUGGCGGCGUGCCUAAUACAUGCAAGUCGAGCGAACAGACGAGGAGCUUGCUCCUCUGACGUUAGCCGCGGACGGGUGAGUCACACGUGGAUAACCUACCUAUAAGACUGGGAUAACUUCGGGAAACCGGAGCUAAUACCGUAUAAUAUAUUGAACCGCAUGGUUCAAUAGUGAAAGUCGGUGUUGCUGUCACUUAUAGAUGGAUCCGCGCCGCAUUAGCUAGUUGGUAAGGUAACGGCUUACCAAGGCAAGGAUGCGUAGCCAACCUGAUAGAUGGAACGGCGACACUGGACCUGAGACGCAGUCCAGACUACUACGGGAGGCACCAGUAGGGAAUCUGCCGCAAUAGGCGAAAGCAUGACGGAGCAAGGCGAAGCGAGAGAUGAAGAUGUUCGGAUCGGAAUACCCUGAUAUUAGGGAAAAACAAAUGUGUAAGUAAAUGUGCACGUCUUGACGGUACCUGAUAAGAAAGCAACGGCUAACUACGUG
rnacentral:rRNA from 1 species